rfam:Kutzneria sp. 744 genomic scaffold supercont1.1, whole genome shotgun sequence.
GAGAGCCGGAUGCUCAGGAAUGGGCACGUCCGGUUCGGCGGGCGGGCCGGGGAAACGUAACGUUCGUAAGGACGUCAACGCGCCCCGGUCCGACCCAAC